rnacentral:tRNA from 1 species
UAGCUCAACUGGUAAAGAAUCUGCCUGCAAUGCAGAAGACCCUGGUUCAAUUCCUGG